rnacentral:rRNA from 1 species
UACGUAGGGCGCAAGCGUUGUCCGGAAUUAUUGGGCGUAAAGAGCUCGUAGGCGGCUUGUCGCGUCGGUUGUGAAAGCCCGGGGCUUAACCCCGGGUCUGCAGUCGAUACGGGCAGGCUAGAGUUCGGUAGGGGAGAUCGGAAUUCCUGGUGUAGCGGUGAAAUGCGCAGAUAUCAGGAGGAACACCGGUGGCGAAGGCGGAUCUCUGGGCCGAUACUGACGCUGAGGAGCGAAAGCGUGGGGAGCAAACAGG